AGUAAAAGUCGUAACAAGGUUUCCGUAGGUGAACCUGCGGAAGGAUCAUUAACGAGUUUUGAAAGGGGUUGUCGCUGGCCUUUCACGAGGCAUGUGCACACUCUGCUCAUCCACUCUCAACCUCUGUGCACUUAUUGUAGGUCGGUGGAAGGCUCGCAAGAGCUGGAAGCCUGCUUAUGUUUUACUACAAUCGCUUCAGUUAUAGAAUGUUUACUUGCGUAUAACGCAUUUAUAUACAACUUUCAGCAACGGAUCUCUUGGCUCUCGCAUCGAUGAAGAACGCAGCGAAAUGCGAUAAGUAAUGUGAAUUGCAGAAUUCAGUGAAUCAUCGAAUCUUUGAACGCACCUUGCGCUCCCUGGUAUUCCGGGGAGCACGCCCGUUUGAGUGUCAUGGUAUUCUCAACCUUCCUCACUUUUGUGACUGGAAGGCUUGGAUGUGGAGGUCGUGCGGGCUCUCGCGAGUCGGCUCCUCUGAAAUGCAUUAGCGUGAACGUUUACGGAUCGCUAUCAGUGUGAUAACUAUCUGCGCUGUUAGUGUUGAAGUAUUGCUUAGUGUCGCGCUUCUAACCGUCCUUCAGUUGGACAACUUAUCUGACAUCUGGCCUCAAAUCGGGCGGGACUACCCGCUGAACUUAAGCAUAUCAAUAAGCGGAGGA
rnacentral:rRNA from 1 species